rnacentral:rRNA from 1 species
GAGACUCUGUGCGCGUGCAUAUCAAUAAGCGGAGGAAAAGAAACUAACAAGGAUUCCCCUAGUAACGGCGAGUGAAGCGGGAAGAGCUCAAAUUUGAAAUCUUAAAGGGUUUCCCUUUACGAAUUGUAGUUUAAAGAAGUGUUUUCUGUUGGAGCUUCGGUAAAAGUUCUUUGGAAUAGGACAUCAUAGAGGGUGAGAAUCCCGUAUUUGAUCGUUACUUUCCAGCUGUGUGAUACACUUUCAAAGAGUCGGAUUGUUUGGGAAUGCAGUCCAAGAUGGGUGGUAAAUUUCAUCUAAAGCUAAAUAUUGGCGAGAGACCGAUAGCGAACAAGUACCGUGAGGGAAAGAUGAAAAGAACUUUGAAAAGAGAGUUAAACAGUACGUGAAAUUGUCAAAAGGGAAGCGUUUGACACCAGUGUUGUUUAGUUGAAAAUCAAUUCAAUAAUUUUUGAUUUUAAGUAGUAUUGACUUCAUCGGCUUGCUGCUUUCUUUUCAGGAAUUAUUGAAUGCACUUUUCAGUUAACAAGUCAACAUCAAUUUCUUUUGUUGUAAAAGGGUAAGAGGAAGGUGGCUUACGCUUCGGCGUAAGUGUUUAUAGCCUUUUACCUCUGCAAUCGGAGAGAUUGAGGACAGCAGCGUAGACUCUUCGGGGUUAGAUACACUUGUGCUAAGCUAUAGCCUUGUAUAGACAACUUGUUGACUAUGCUCAGUCAUGUAGCUUACUCGCUUGUGCUAUUUUACCUACGCUUAGGAUGUUGACAGCAGUAUAGACUGU